rnacentral:rRNA from 1 species
UACGUAGGGUGCAAGCGUUAAUCGGAAUCACUGGGCGUAAAGGGCGCGUAGGCGGCAUGCCAAGCGUGUGGUGAAAGCCCGGGCUCAACCCGGGUCGGCCGUGCGGACUGGCGUGCUUGAGCACUGUAGGGCGGGUGGAAGUUCCGGGUGUAGCGGUGGAAUGCGUAGAGAUCCGGAAGAACACCGGUGGCGAAGGCGGCCCGCUGGGCAGGAAGACGGAGCAAUCCGUCGGCUGACGCUGAGGCGCGACAGCG